rnacentral:piRNA from 1 species
UAUUCUGGUAAAACAGCUCACAUUCC